UGAUCAAUCUUGGUUUAGUGAUUCUGGUAAAUCUCAGUUUACUGAGUCUUAUCAGACUCAGUAUAGAGUCUGGUCAAUCUCUGCAGUCCACAUGUUAGCCUGAAAGAAAAACAGGUAUUAGAAGCCUGUCUUAAUAGCUGCUAUUACAUCAAUGGUCAUGUCAUUGGUUAAUCUCCUGUAUUUUACAGCAGACUGUAAAAUGCUUAUACUUUAGGGAUUUAUAUGUCCUGGAGGAUUUAUGGAUGACCAUUAUUGAGUUUAUACAUAAAUGAUAAGGGAGUGCUGUAACUGCAUUAUGCAAGUACAAUAAACCAGUGUUGUUAUAUUGUAGUUGGUUAGCUACAGAUGUUUACUGUAUCAGAUAAAGCAUGUAUGUGUCUGCCUAAUUUUCUGAUGUCAUUUGUCACCUAUGCCAGACUUGUUUUGCAUUACUGUGCAAAUUUUGUGAUAAUUUAUGUCAUUGUCAUAAUAAUGUCUCUGAAAGGAGACCAUACUUUCAGUUCAGUGUAAAUGUACUUGUUUUACUGUUACUAAGGAACCUAGUUUAGCUUGAAAGGUUGCUAUUCUUAUUUUGCUAAUACCAUAAUUACAUGUAUGUUUCUCAAAAGUAGACCAUACUACAUUUAUUUUGGUCUUUGACAGUGCUCUCUUUCAAAGUGGAUCAUGUAACAAUAGUGCUAAAGAACAGAAUUAUUUUAUUUUAAAGAACAUUCAUUAACUAUAAAAAUGAUAUACAGUAGAUAUGUAUAGCCAUGAACCCUAAUUAUGUAGACAAUUUUCUAGCUUAUAAUGUAACCAUUUAUUCUUGUUUCACUGAAAUGUGAACAUAGAUUAUACAAGUAGUAUGAAACUGAAAAUAUUGACUGAUCAGAGGUCCAACAUACUCCAAGAUCGAUAAUGUAAUAAAAAAAAAUGCUUGACCACCAUUGUGGUAUUUCUUAAUUAUAAAUGAAAUUUCAGUCAAUACUUGCUUAACAUUGGUUAAUCUAAGACAUUCUGUUUUUUGCUGACUGUGUUAAAUUAACAUUAUAUACAUAUUAACAAAAGGUAGACAGACAGAAGGGCAGGCAGUAUGGUGACCACUUGCCUUCCUUUGAAGCAUAGAGCGGUUUUAUUUUACAAAAUGUUAUGUGAAAGUUUUGUCAAUACUUAUCUUAAGAGCUAGAUCCUAGAUGAUGGUUUCUUUGCGGACAACAGGGGAACGAUAUGACAUAAUGUUUAGUUUACAUUGUAUAAAUGUUGACACUAGGGAAGUCUGUUUGCAUCCUUGAUUACAAUCACUUACAUUUGUAGUCCUUAAUGUGACAUUAAGAUAUGUUUUCUUGUGGCAUGUGCCAUAGAAAUAGUUACAACUUCCUGUUAUUUAGCCCGAUUUGCCAACACUGUCAAAAAAAGGCCUUUCUGUAAUGUUUGUAAACAGAUGAACAUUGCAAAUGAAUAUCAUUUGUAUUCAGAAAUCAGCUGACAGAAUUUCCUGGAUUAUGAUGCUAUGUUGCAAUUUCAUUUUACAAUUUUGAGUACAAUAUUUUCUAAGUAUUGUAGGAAAAUGUAUGGAAUAACCCAUAACAAGCUAAAUAUCUUUAAUGGACUUUUCUAUCCGUCAAACUGGAAUGUUUGGGAUUAGUGAAUAGUACAGGCCAGGAUCAUGCAGAACAGAUGUGCCGGCUGAUCUUGGCCUCUACUGGUGACAAGGGCAUAAUAUAUUCCUGACUUUUGGCUAAGUUGAAGGUAAAGUGGCACAGAGCUACGUAACCCGAUCAGAUAUGCUUUGACAAGAACCAAUCACAGUAAGAAAAAGAAGAUGAAAGACAUUCUAACAGUUGUCAUAUUGUAAACUAGAUUAAACCAUCAGUAGAAAAUAGGUCUUUUUGUUGUUUUGAGGUAAUUUCAAUUAGGAUCAAUAAAUAUAGUCUCAGUUACUGUUGGGUUCUUCUCAUGGCUUGAUUAAUUAAACUUGAUCCUGCUGAAUUUGUGUAAUUAUCUUGCCCUGCUUUGAAUUUUGAACUGUCUGUUAUUGUGUGGGAUUUCAGUGUCGAAAAUGUUGAAAUCCCACACUUUCCAGCAAAGUGUCUGAUCAGAUUGCAGGGAGAGGAUCAAGAUGAGCAUUUUAUUUAUUUAUCUUUUUUUUAACAAAAUGAUCCUCUUUGAAUUUUUCAGUGAAGAGUCAUGAAGGUUGGCUGCUACACAAGCUUAAGCAAAGAAGUUCAUCCAAUAAUGUAAUGAAAAGUUUGUCAUAUGAUGAAUAUUGGUAGCCAUUGAAAGAUGUGAUUAUAUCAAGAUAUUGAUGGUAUCCAUUGAAUGAUGUGUGCAGAUAAAAUCAUUUGGAUUUUGAGAUGUGAUGACAGCUGAUGAAGCAAAGACACAGCAGGGGUAAAAAUGUGGAACAUUACAAACAUUCUUCAUUAUAUUCACGUUUUUAGACUUUGUGGAACCUUGUUUAUGGAAUUGAUUGAAAUGAUGUGAAUGGCCAGUCAAGAGGGCUUCCUGUGGUAGAAAGUUGUUAGUAUUGCCCUGAAUGUUGGAUUGGUGUACCAUAAAUGUGCAAAGUGACUCCUACGCCGUUUGUAUUGAGUGUUUCAGAUGAAAUGAUUAUGUACCUGGUUGCCAUUAGAUUUAAAUUAGCUCAAAGAACAAGAAUUAAAUAGGUUAUACAUAAGAUGAUCAAUAGACUGAUAGAAAAGAAAAUUCAUCUAGAAACAGUAAAUUUUUCUGGAAUAGGAUUUUAGAAAUUUUUGUGUGAGCAUCAUCAGAGAGGAUUCAGAGAUAAAAAUUCUGUUACAGGGAAAAUGACCAAAAAUGAAAAA